UGGAAGUAAAAGUCGUAACAAGGUCUCCGUUGGUGAACGCAGCGGAGGGAUCAUUACCGAGUUUACAACUCCCAAACCCAAUGUGAACGUUACCAAACUGUUGCCUCGGCGGGAUCUCUGCCCCGGGUGCGUCGCAGCCCCGGACCAAGGCGCCCGCCGGAGGACCAACCAAAACUCUUUUUGUAUACCCCCUCGCGGGUUUUUUAUAAUCUGAGCCUUCUCGGCGCCUCUCGUAGGCGUUUCGAAAAUGAAUCAAAACUUUCAACAACGGAUCUCUUGGUUCUGGCAUCGAUGAAGAACGCAGCGAAAUGCGAUAAGUAAUGUGAAUUGCAGAAUUCAGUGAAUCAUCGAAUCUUUGAACGCACAUUGCGCCCGCCAGUAUUCUGGCGGGCAUGCCUGUCCGAGCGUCAUUUCAACCCUCGAACCCCUCCGGGGGGUCGGCGUUGGGGAUCGGCCCUGCCUCUUGGCGGCGGCCGUCUCCGAAAUACAGUGGCGGUCUCGCCGCAGCCUCUCCUGCGCAGUAGUUUGCACACUCGCAUCGGGAGCGCGGCGCGUCCACAGCCGUUAAACACCCAACUUCUGAAAUGUUGACCUCGGAUCAGGUAGGAAUACCCGCAUGAACUUAAGCAUAUCAAUAAG
rnacentral:rRNA from 1 species